rnacentral:rRNA from 1 species
GACGAACGCUGGCGGCGUGCUUAACACAUGCAAGUCGAACGCUGAAGCUUGGUGCUUGCACUUGGUGGAUUAGUGGCGAACGGGUGAGUAAUACGUGAGUAACCUGCCCUUGACUCUGGGAUAAGCCUGGGAAACUGGAUCUAAUACUGGAUACGACUUGUCACCGCAUGGUUGUGUGUGGAAAGGGUUUGAGUGGUUUUGGAUUGGCUCACGGCCAAUCAGCUUGUUGGUGUGGUAAUGGCUCACCAUGGCGACGCCGGGUAGCCGGCCUGGGAGGUGGACCGGCGACACUGGGACUGAGAGAGGCCCCAGACGCCUACGGGAGGCAGCAGUGGGGAACAUGGCACAAUGGGGGGAAGCCAGAGAUGGCGACGCUGGGUGAGGAAUAACGGCUUACGGGGGGUAAACCUCUUUGAGCACGGAAGAAGCGAACGUGACGGUACGUGCAGAAGAAGCGCCGGCUAACUACGUG